rnacentral:rRNA from 1 species
UGGGGAAUAUUGGACAAUGGGGGGAACCCUGAUCCAGCCAUGCCGCGUGUGUGAAGAAGGCCUUAUGGUUGUAAAGCACUUUAAGCGAGGAGGAGGGUACUGGUAUUACUACUACCAGCUACUGGACGUUACUCGCAGAAUACGCACCGGCUAACUCUGUGCCAGCAGCCGCGGUCAUACAGAGGGUGCGAGCGUUAAUCGGAUUUACUGGGCGUAAAGCGUGCGUAGGCGGCUAAUUGAGUCGGAUGUGAAAUCCCCGAGCUUAACUUGGGAAUUGCAUUCGAUACUGGUUAGCUAGAGUGUGGGAGAGGAUGGUAGAAUUCCAGGUGUAGCGGUGAGAUGCGUAGAGAGCUGGAGGAAUACCGAUGGCGAAGGCAGCCAUCUGGCCUAACACUGACGCUGAGGUACGAAAGAAUGGGGAGCAAACAGG